UCUUCUGGAUGACCAGAGAAAGUGGUUUCUUGAGAUGGAUUCUACUUCUGGUGAAGAUGCUGUGAG
rnacentral:pre_miRNA from 1 species